rfam:Homo sapiens chromosome 13, GRCh38 reference primary assembly.
GCCAGGCGUGGUGGCUCUCGCCUGUAAUCCCAACACUUUGGGAGGCCGAGGCGGGUGGAUCACCUGAGGUCAGGAGUUCAAGACCAGCCUGGCCAACAUGGUGAAAUCCCGCCUCUA